rnacentral:rRNA from 1 species
UACAGAGGGUGCAAGCGUUAAUCGGAUUUACUGGGCGUAAAGCGCGCGUAGGCGGCUAAUUAAGUCAAAUGUGAAAUCCCCGAGCUUAACUUGGGAAUUGCAUUCGAUACUGGUUAGCUAGAGUGUGGGAGAGGAUGGUAGAAUUCCAGGUGUAGCGGUGAAAUGCGUAGAGAUCUGGAGGAAUACCGAUGGCGAAGGCAGCCAUCUGGCCUAACACUGACGCUGAGGUGCGAAAGCAUGGGGGAGCGAACAGG